rnacentral:ncRNA from 1 species
AUUCCGGUUGAUCCUGCCGGAGGCUACUGCUAUCGGAGUCCGAUUUAGCCAUGCUAGUCCACCGAGUCUUUGACUCGGGGCGGAUAGCUGAGUAACACGU